AUCUUUUCUUUUUUUUCACUUUCUCCUUCUUUCUCUUUCUGCUUUCUCUUCAUUCUUCUAAUUUCACAUUAAUGUCUACUUUCUCUUUGUCUGUCAUCUUCAUCUUGCAGAAUUUGAUUACAUGGUCUUAUAAUUUGUUGAGGUCAUAUUCUUGACUAAAUGUUUUUUGAUUUAUUAACUAUUAUCAUGUGUUUGUUUCAGAUUUUACAAAAGCACUGCUUGAAUGCAAAGAAAAUGUUCAAGAUCUCUUAGGGUUUGUGCAAUAGAAGAUGCAGAUGAACAAACAGAUGAAUAAAGGCCUUCCACUUGUGUAUUCAUAAAUCUUUUUCUAAACGAGUAUUUGGAAACCACCAGAUUUGAAACUGAAAUCAUUAGAUCUGAAAUUGAAGUCUCCAGAUCUGAAAUCAAAACCCCCAGGAAAUAAGAAGCAACAACACAAAGGUACAUACUGAUACCUACAAAAAAUGAAGCUCUUAUUUUGAUGACUAUAUUUAGAAAGUUGUUAUGAGGAAGAAGAAAAUCCAAGAAAUCAAUGAACAAGUUGUGGAAGAAUAUUGAUGGAGAGAGAAAUAUUAAUGAACGAUAUUGAUGAGUAAAAAUAUUUGUUGAAAUUAAAUACACUUAAAUGUCAUUAAUUUGUCAUAAUUUUUUUUGUAGUACUAAUUUAAUUUUGAUUAAUA